rnacentral:rRNA from 1 species
CCUACGGGAGGCAGCAGUAGGGAAUCUUCCGCAAUGGACGAAAGUCUGACAGGGCAACGCCGCGUGAACGAUGAAGGCCUUCGGGUCGUAAAGUUCUGUUGUCAGGGAAGAACAAGUAUCGGAGUAACUGCCGGUACCUUGACGGUACCUGACCAGAAAGCCACGGCUAACUACGUGCCAGCAGCCGCGGUAAUACGUAGGUGGCAAGCGUUGUCCGGAAUUAUUGGGCGUAAAGCGCGCGCAGGCGGUUCCUUAAGUCUGAUGUGAAAGCCCCCGGCUCAACCGGGGAGGGUCAUUGGAAACUGGGGAACUUGAGUGCAGAAGAGGAGAGCGGAAUUCCACGUGUAGCGGUGAAAUGCGUAGAGAUGUGGAGGAACACCAGUGGCGAAGGCGGCUCUCUGGUCUGUAACUGACGCUGAGGCGCGAAAGCGUGGGGAGCGAACAGGAUUAGAUACCCUGGUAGUCCACGCCGUAAACGAUGAGUGCUAAGUGUUAGAGGGUUUCCGCCCUUUAGUGCUGCAGCAAACGCAUUAAGCACUCCGCCUGGGGAGUACGGCCGCAAGGCUGAAACUCAAAGGAAUUGACGG